rnacentral:tRNA from 1 species
AGGCGCGUAGCUCAGGGGCAGAGCACUACCUUGACAUGGUAGGGGUCGGCGGUUCGAUCCCGCCCGCGCCUA